GUACUCGCUUCGGCGGUACAUAUACUAAAAUUGGAACGAUACAGAGAAGAUUAGUAUGGCCCCUGCGCAAGGAUGACCGGAUUGAUGUAGCGUAAUGAGUAGCGUUACU